rnacentral:rRNA from 1 species
UACGUAGGGGGCAAGCGUUGUCCGGAUUUAUUGGGCGUAAAGAGCGUGUAGGCGGCCAUACAGGUCCGUUGUGAAAACUGGAGGCUUAACCUCCGGACGUCGAUGGAAACCGUAUGGCUAGAGUCCGGAAGAGGAGAGUGGAAUUCCUGGUGUAGCGGUGAAAUGCGCAGAUAUCAGGAAGAACACCCGUGGCGAAGGCGGCUCUCUGGGACGGUACUGACGCUGAGACGCGAAAGCGUGGGGAGCGAACAGG